GGGCCGUUAGCUCAGUCAGUUGAGCAUAGUGCUAACAAUGCUAUGGUCGUGGAUUUGAUUCCUGUUCGGUCCC
rfam:Apaloderma vittatum contig89322, whole genome shotgun sequence.